GUAUAAAUAAGCCUGAGCAGGAGACAAGAAUUCACAGUUAAAAGACAGAAAGAACAAGCAUGCAUGUUCUUACUGGUGAUUGUCUUUGAGUGAAGAAGGGAUUUCAGUGGUCCUCUUGUGAGGGACGAGCAAGGAGUGGAGCUGGACCCCCAGUUGGCAUCCAUAACAGCCCAACAAGUGGCCAGGGAUCUGCUCUGCUAAGGCAGCUUUUUUCCAAGCUGACUGCUAAGGACUGGGUUUCUGGGGAGCAGAAGAGCUGCGCUCUCACCAAGUUUGCUGUGGAGAUGAGAUCAUAUGGAAGUGGCCAGCAGAAACAUAGAAGAGAGCAUGAGAUCUACUAUGCCCAGAAGGCCUCUGAAACCUCCGAAAUUUCUUCUCUCUGUAAGGCCAGCAAGUUCAUCCUUAAGAAGGCAGAGAAGAAUGCCCAGAUGGGAGAUAUACUCAGAAGUGACCAGUUUGGAUGUAAAGUGUAAUCAUUUAUGAUGAGAGGACAUGAUUUCCACCUAGGAUGCCAGUCUCUUACAGAAGGAACAAGAAGAUGGUUGAUGUACUGUGGACCACCUCUGAAUUCAGGACAUUCCACACACUCUAAUGACUUCUCUUUUUGAGGAAUAUUCCUAGCAUUGUGUCUGUUCACCCUGGUUAUGCUUCCUAACCGCUUUUCUUUCUGUCCUCACACACCCUUCUCCUAUCCCCUUCUCAGUAAAAUGCUGCAUAGGGAUGCAGAGCAGCUUGGCACUGGACUUUCAAUAUAUUUAAACACAAGCAAUUCAC
rnacentral:lncRNA from 1 species